GACGAACGCUGGCGGCGUGCUUAACACACGCAAGUCGAACGAAGAGCGACGGAAGCUUGCUUCUAUCAAUCUUAGUGGCGAACGGGUGAGUAACGCGUAAUCAACCUGCCCUUCAGAGGGGGACAACAGUUGGAAACGACUGCUAAUACCGCAUACGAUCUAAUCUCGGCAUCGAGGAUAGAUGAAAGGUGGCCUCUACAUGUAAGCUAUCACUGAAGGAGGGGAUUGCGUCUGAUUAGCUAGUUGGAGGGGUAACGGCCCACCAAGGCGAUGAUCAGUGGCCGGUCUGAGAGGAUGAACGGCCACAUUGGGACUGAGACACGGCCCAGACUCCUACGGGAGGCAGCAGUGGGGAAUCUUCCGCAAUGGACGAAAGUCUGACGGAGC
rnacentral:rRNA from 1 species